rnacentral:tRNA from 1 species
GGAACAUUGGUGAAAUGGUUAUCACGUUACCCUGGCAGGGUAGUGUUAUGGGUUCGAGUCCCGUAUGUUUCGCGA